rnacentral:tRNA from 8 species
GGGUUGCUAACUCAAUGGUAGAGUACUCGGCUUUUAACCGACUAGCUCCGGGUUCGAGUCCCGGGCAACCCA